CUAAAUAGCCGCUAUUAGCCGGCUAUUUAAAACUUUGCGCCUCCUCCUGGGACCACGCCAUGGAGGCGAAGAGGAGGAGGAUUGUAUGGGCGUUGGGCAAUGCCGGCAGCACCAUGCAUGGAUGAGAAGUAGGCAGCAAGCGGGAGACAGAUCUCGGCAAGGCUGGUGUGCGUAUGGGCAGAUCCUGUUUCUUUCUCUUGUCCCCUUUCCUCAGUUAGCCUAAUUUGGUUCCUAUGUUUCUGUCAAAUUGGCUUUCUGAUGUUUAUCCAAGACUAGUAGAAAAAUUCAAAGUGAGGGGAAAGCAAAUGGCCGUGCUUAAUUAUUCAAAGGCUAGUUUCUUGCCUGUUCAGGUCAGCUGUUGCCAACAUAUGCUUAUGUUUUUGUUGUUCGAUGGAAGUUAAUGCAUACAAAGUUUUUACUUCUUUUUACUUUCCUACUAAUUUGAGAAGUGUUGACUACAAAAAACAAUCAUUUCUCUCCCACUAUUGUUUCUUCUGUGUGGAACUUCUUUUUUACUUUCCUACCAUCGAUGAACCUCACCCAAUAGCUGUUGGUCCGAUGGAGCUCUACCUCCAUGCCAUUUCAGUCCACUCUGAUAUGCUCCACUAGAUAAAAGGAUGAUGUUGUUUAUUAGAUUCUUUCUAAAAAACUGAACUGUAGGAGAGUUGCAUGUCCUAUUAAAAAGAGGAUGGUCAUGACGAAUAAAGUACAAAAAAUAAAAACCAAAGACUCUCCGCACAGUGGCAAAUUUUUCUGUUAGUUGUAGCAGCUGAGAAAUAUUCUUUUGGCUGGAUGCUGAAAUUUUUGUUGUUCUUCCUGAAGACUAGAGUUACUCAGUUAGAAGAAGAUGUGAAAUGUGGAUUAGUUGGAGUGGUUUCUAUUGUUUUUUGGCUGGAACCCGUUUUGGUACCCUUACUGCAUAGUUGCAGUUGAUUAUGAAUGGACAUAGUUCCCGAAGCGUGCAACAGGGUUCCUGAUAUUCUAGUCAUUAAUCAUGAAUGGACACAAUUCCCUUAUAGAGCCAUUAACAUGUACCAAUUGUAUCCAGCAGUAGCGUCUAAGUGCAAAGAUAUACAAGGUUGGGAGUGCUAUUGUUUGCAGAGGUAUUGUCAACGAAGGUCACUCCAUUGAGACCAAAAACUGAUGUUACCAUCGGUGAUGCUACGGAAGAGUAAUCAUGUUUGCUAGCUUUCUGUGUCUGUGGCCGGUCUUCCAGAGUUUGAUGGGGAAAAUGAGCAAAGAAGGAAUAUUUUUCUGUCAUUGAGGUCUUAUGUAAUCUAAAGUAUAGUGCUUUCAUAAUGUUGAUGAAUUUUUUUUGUUGCGUCUCAUGGAACAUGCAAGUCUAGAGGAAGGGGAAGGCAAGACCAAGACCUUGGGUUGCACCAGAAUGAAUAUGAUGAUUUUUUUGUAAUUUAGAUGCAUGAAUGGAGAUGAUUUUUUAUGAUUUGGAGAAUUAAAUUAUGACGCUUUAAGUUAUCUAUCUUGAUGCAUGUCAUGUACGGCCACACAUACGCAUACGCCAGGCGUAGGAGAGCCCGCGAUGUGCGCUGAGCUGAGCAGGCAGCAAAGGCAC
rnacentral:lncRNA from 1 species